UACGUAGGGUGCGAGCGUUGUCCGGAAUUAUUGGGCGUAAAGAGCUUGUAGGUGGUUUGUCGCGUCUGCUGUGAAAAAUCCGGGGCUCAACCCCGGACUUGCAGUGGGUACGGGCAGACUAGAGUGUGGUAGGGGAGACUGGAAUUCCUGGUGUAGCGGUGGAAUGCGCAGAUAUCGGGAGGAACACCAGUGGCGAAGGCGGCUUUCUGGUCUGCUCUUGACGCUGAGGCGCGAAAGCUAGGGUAGCAAACGGG
rnacentral:rRNA from 1 species